rnacentral:misc_RNA from 1 species
AACGCACGAGACCUGCGGACCUGCGGAAGGAUCAUUACAUGGCGGAGGAGGUGGGCACCUAGUAAAACAAAACCCUAGGUGUGUUGCCUACCACGCUUUCUACCCCUGUCUAUUUGCACCUUUUGUCGUUCCCUCGGUGGGUCUUGAACCUGCCGGCGGCAACUUUCAAAAACCUUUUGUAGUUAGUAUCUAAUUCUUCUGAUCAAAUAUUCAAUCGUUACAACUUUUAACAAUGGAUCU